AUUGAACGCUGGCGGCAGGCCUAACACAUGCAAGUCGAGCGGAGCGGCGGACGGGCGAGUAAUGCCUAGGUAUCUGCCUGGUAGUGGGGGGUAACGUCCGGAAACGGGCGCUAAUACCGCAUACUAUCAGAUGAGUCUAGGUCGGAUUAGCUAGUUGGUGGGGUAAGGGCCUACCAAGGCGACGAUCGGUAGCUGGUCUGAGAGGAUGAUCAGUCACACUGGAAAUGAGACACGGUCCAGACUCCUAAGGGAGGCAGGAUUGGGGAAUCUUGGACAAUGGGCGAAAGCGUGAUACAGCCAAGCCGCGUGUGUGAGAAAGGUCUUCGGAUUGUAAAGCACGUUAAUUUGGGAGGCGUUACCAACAGAAGAAGCACCGGCUAACUCCGUGCCAGCAGCCGCGGUAAUUC
rnacentral:rRNA from 1 species